GCAAGUCGAACGGGACUUACUUAGCUUGCUUUGUAAGUUUAGUGGCGGACGGGUGAGUAACACGUGAGCAACCUGCCUAGAAGAAGGGGAUAGCUCGAGGAAACUCGAUUUAAUACCUUAGUGAUCCUGUGAAGCAUUUCGCCGGAAUGAAAGAUGCCUUUGGGGGUCACUUCUGGAUGGGCUCGCGGCCUAUCAGUUAGUUGGUGAGGUAACGGCUCACCAAGGCAAUGACGGGUAGCUGGUCUGAGAGGACGACC
rnacentral:rRNA from 1 species